rnacentral:rRNA from 1 species
AGCAGCCGCGGUAAUUCCAGCUCCAAUAGCGUAUAUUAAAGUUGUUGCAGUUAAAAAGCUCGUAGUUGAAUUUCGGGGUUCUACCGUCGGUCGGGCUAACAAGUCUGUACUGAUGUGUAGAAUUUCUACUUUCUGGGGAACUAUCAUGUUAUUAAUUUAGCGUGGUAGGAAACCAGGACCUUUACCUUGAAAAAAUUAGAGUGUUCAAAGCAGGCUUACGUCUGAAUACAUUAGCAUGGAAUAAUAAAAUAGGACGGUGGUCCUGUUUUGUUGGUUUCUGAAUCACCGUAAUGAUUAAUAGGGAUAGUUGGGGGCAUUAGUAUUCAAUUGUCAGAGGUGAAAUUCUUGGAUUUAUUGAAGACUAACUUCUGCGAAAGCAUUUGCCAAGGAUGUUUUCAUUAAUCAAGAACGAAAGUUAGGGGAUCGAAGACGAUCAGAUACCGUCGUAGUCUUAACCAUAGACUAUGCCGACUAGGGAUCGGACGAUGUUAAAUUUUAUUGACUCGUUCGGCGCCUUACG